rnacentral:sRNA from 1 species
UGAAACAGCCUGUCAUGCGGCUAUGCAGAUGGGCAGGCUUGCCUGCACAGAUGCAUAGACAUAUGACGGGCAAAACUUCAUGAGCAAGUAAGCCGACAGGCUGGAUUGCGAAUGAAGUUAGGAUCGUGGGAGCA